rnacentral:rRNA from 1 species
CCCGCAACGAGCGCAACCCUUGUCAUUAGUUGCCAUCAUUCAGUUGGGCACUCUAAUGAGACUGCCGGUGACAAACCGGAGGAAGGUGGGGAUGACGUCCAGUCCUCAUGGCCCUUAUGAGCAGGGCUUCACACGUCAUACAAUGGUCGGUACAGAGGGUUGCCAAGCCGCGAGGUGGAGCUAAUCUCAUAAAACCGAUCGUAGUCCGGAUCGCACUCUGCAACUCGAGUGCGUGAAGUCGGAAUCGCUAGUAAUCGCACAUCAGCAUGCUGCGGUGAAUACCUU